rnacentral:tmRNA from 1 species
GGGGAUGACCGGCCUAGACAGAUGCCGAUUACUUCCGAGUUGCAAUGUCGAGCUUCGAGUGCUCGCUAAACUUUCGAACAAAGUACAUGCAAAUGCACUUUCAAAAGCUAUGGGGAUUCGUUCUCCGUACGCUCCGGCUUUCGCUUUAGCCUAAGCCGCAUCCGCACUUCUUACGCCUGAUGCGUUGUCGCGGGUGUCAUCUUUUCAGGCUUUGGAUUCGCUUCGUUCUCGGGCGAAUCUGAAAAAUAGAGAAACCGAUGUUUGGGGAUUUUGUUUAUUUAUACCCCAAACAUUUAAAUCCGCCUUCGCGGAAAAAACAAACUAUACAUUGUAGACAUUCGUUAGUAUCUCACCUGCACGGCGGUUCGAUUCCGCCCAUCUCCACAA